ACGGGGGCCCGCCCCCGGGGGCAAAUCUCUCAUUUCCGCUCUGGCGGCUGGCGGGAGAGUGAGGUCAGAGUGACUUCAGUCGCAGCUCCUCCCAAGGUCUGUGAGGGACCCGGCUCCCCGAGGUGAGGGCGGGGCGGGCCGCGGGGGUGGGGCUGCUGACCCAGCACCUGGGGGUUUNAAGAUCGCCUCGAGGGCACCCCCUCUCCCUAACCCCGAACUUUUCGCCUCCAGCCUGCACCCAAACCCAGCUCAGACCUCCGUGCUCACCCCUGUCCUCUCUCCAGCAUCCUGGGGCAGGCUUCCCUGAACCAGAACCAGAACUGGGCCGGGCCUAGUAAGAACCUGAGGCUUUUGACCUUCCGGCGUGUCUGUCCCAUAUUACUAGAACUGAACUUGUGCCUUGUGCCUUCAUUUCAUUCAUAGCGAUCCUCCCCAUCCUCCUAUGGGUUGCUCCCCAGCCUGAGAUGGGCCAGCUGCACUACACCGCGAAGCACCCUGUUCUCUCCCAAGCUUCUUAAGGCCACUCAGACCCUGAUGUUUAUUCCCACACCCCAGGAAAAUGACACACUCUGUAUUUCUGUUUUAUUUAUAAAUGAUUUAAAAAACAUUAUACAAAGGCUGAUCAGUUUAAAAUGUGACCGACACUGAAAUGCUGUGAUAUUCCCCCUGGCUGAGGAGAAGCUGGGCUCUGGGGCCAUCAGCACUUUGCCCCUCUGUCUGACUGCCCUGUCCUGGGGUGAUGGACACACAGAUGACCACAGGCAGGAGUAUCCCAGAUUGGAAGCCUCUAGGCUGAGCCCUCUCUGGGCCUGGCUUCAUAUCCCUCACUUCUGCAGCCUGGGCUGCCUGCCUCCAUCCCCUGCUCUUUGACAGCUGGCCUUGUUCCAGGAGCCAGCAAGGAGCCUGGGGGGCGGGGGUGGGGGGUGGGCACGGCUAGAGCUUUCAAUAAGCGAGAGCACCAACCUGAGGAGUGGAGAGGGAUUGGGGUGGGAGAUGGGCAGGAAGAGAUGGACAGAGGAGACACUUAUCUCAGACCCAAAAGGGGUCCACAGAUGGGGAACACAAGACCCAGCCAGCUCAUAGGAUGACUUGGUCAAGUAACAGCCUCUCUGUGCUUCAUCUGAGGGCAUGAUGAGAGUUACCCUUGGCCUCCCAGGGCCUACACGAGUUUCAUGUGAGUGGACAGGUGUGAGCUAAUAAAGUGCUUUGCAAAGUAUAAAACACUGUACAAACCUAUGAAUCACUAAUAUCUCUGCAGUUGUUCCCUGCCUGCCCCAGGGAGCCUGCCCUUGGCCAAAAUGAGAAAAAACAGGAUGAUGAUGACUGGGGACACAGUGGACCCACAAAAGUGCCUCUGGGACAAGAGAUUUUACUCAAGACACUUCCCAGGGCAGCAGGAGUCCCUGUCAGUGCUACAGGAUAAGCCGAACCAAAGCCCAGAGGUCACAGGGUGGGGGCAAGGCCCAUGCAGGCUCAGAGGACAGGAGUGGCAUCUUGGACCCUGCCAGCACCCUGAAGACUGCCUAACACCUCUUUUUGGCUUUGGCAGAGAGCCACUGCACCCAUUGGUCUUGCCUAGGGUUCCUCAGUGACAAGCAGGGCUGCUUCUGCCAGAUUGUAGCAAGGCUAGCAGAGCUGGAAACUCCUGCCAGACAUGAAGGGUAGGUCUAAGAAGGUCAGAAAGGGAGGCCCCUAGGCUUGGGGCUGCUACCAUUUGGGGGUGCCCUUUUCCUAAGAGCAAUGCAGAAGAUGGGCCCAGUGAGCUGGGUUUCCAGGGCCAAGUUCAAGGCCUAAAUACCGCUUCUGGACUGAGAAUUUGAGUUGCCUUAAUAUAGCUGGGGGUAUGGGCACUGAGUGCUUCAGAAGGCUGCCUGGGGCCCCUUACUC
rnacentral:lncRNA from 1 species